AUUUCCAUAAGCAUCAGAUUGGCUAUGAUGGUCUAAUAUGUAACACUUGUGCAAAUUGGUUAGGCAGUUUCUCUUGUUUCUCUGUGGGGUCAUGUGCUCUUUUUGCAGAGAUUUUGAACAUCAAGCACAACCUUCUUUUAACCUGGGAGUCAUGUUUCAGCAUGUUGAUUGCGAGAGUGACUCACUAUAUGCUAUUGGAAUGUCGGAUGUUCCUCCGUUGAUGUUACAUCUAAGAGUUUUGUUGAUGGAUAUUGUUGAUAUUUAUACUCGUAUGUGUCGUGUUUCCCUCCACCAUAUUUCGUGAGAGGCUAAUAAGUGUACUGACAAACUUGCUUCGUUGGGCUU
rnacentral:lncRNA from 1 species